rnacentral:rRNA from 1 species
AUUGAACGCUGGCGGCAUGCCUUACACAUGCAAGUCGAACGGCAGCGGGGACUUCGGUCCGCCGGCGAGUGGCGAACGGGUGAGUAAAGUAUCGGAACGUACCUUUCAGUGGGGGAUAACGUAGCGAAAGUUACGCUAAUACCGCAUAUUCUGUGAGCAGGAAAGCAGGGGAUCGCAAGACCUUGCGCUGAUUGAGCGGCCGAUAUCAGAUUAGCUAGUUGGUGAGGUAAAGGCUCACCGAGGCGACGAUCUGUAGCGGGUCUGAGAGGAGGAUCCGCCACACUGGAACUGAGACACGGUCCAGACUCCUACGGGAGGCAGCAGUGGGGAAUUUUGGACAAUGGGGGCAACCCUGAUCCAGCCAUGCCGCGUGAGUGAAGAAGGCCUUCGGGUUGUAAAGCUCUUUCGGCCGGGAGGAAAUCGCACAGGCUAAUACCCUGUGUGGAUGACAGUACCGGAAUAAGAAGCACCGGCUAACUACGUGCCAGCCGCCGCCGUAACAC